rnacentral:lncRNA from 1 species
CUAGGUCCUCGAGAUCGAAUCCUAGAUGCCCUACAUAUUUUUGUUGUUCUUCAUUUGUUUUCAGAGAAAAAUCGCACAUAUUUCAGUAUUGUUGUCACAUUUAUAAUAUUGAUGUAAAAAUAAACCGUGCAGUGGAUUUAAAUGAUUUCAGCAUGAAAAAUGUUCAGAAUUUUGUGUAGGUUCACAAUAUGCAAUUUUCACACAUGCUUAAAAUGUUUAACUUGUUGUUUUCAUUUAAUUUGCAUAAAACCUUGUUAAAACGAUUUAUUUCAUAAUUAAUAACCAUAAAUCUGUUUAAAAUGUUUCACAUAUGUAACUUGUCUAGAAAACUGUAUAGAACACUACUGGAAUUGAUAAAUUUGCCGUCUGCCGUGCCUUUGCCGUCUGCUGACGCAUGGCAAAGAUGCUCUUUGCCAUCAGUUGGUACAAAGCGGACGGCAAAGAGGAUGCUGAUGGCAAAGGAUUUAUUUGCUGUCUGCCACCUCUUUGCCGUCUGCUGACGCAUGGCAAAGGCCCUACAGGCGGAAGGCAAAGAGCAUGCGGACGGCAAAGGGGCGCCACCCUAACGGCCAACUCGCGCCCCACCCCACCCACCCCUUUGUCGUCUGCCUCCCNNNN